UUCAUAUAUAUAUAUUAGUAUUGUAUAAGCAAUUAACAGUGUUCACUUAUCAAGUAAAACAAAAAUUGAUGAGUACAGCUUUAACUAAAGAGAAGAAGCUUAUGGGCCAAGAAUAAGGUGAAAGUAAUAUCUUAAGUAAUAUGUUAUUACUCAUUUGUAAAUGAUUUGUAAAAUAUGUCAAUCAAGUCAUAACAGUGGCUCAUAUUUAAUUAUUAAUAUAUAUAUUAGUAAGCAAUUAACAGUGUUCACUUAUCAGACAGUGGUGGUUUGAAUGUUGUCUCUAUAUCUAAAUCUAUUUCUUAACAAUAAAAGCAUUGAUUGCUCACACA